AGGCGUAGCCGAUGCACAGACGGUAGAGAUUCCGUCACCACCAAAAGAGUUAAGCACAGGGACACAUUUGAAGUCUCUGAGCCGGGUGUUGGUUCCGGUAGAGAUCGAGGGAAGUUAGUACCGAAGUCUGAGAUGGAAGAUGGCGAGAAAAGCUGUGUGUAUUUCUGAGGUGCCCGUACCGCAAACCGACACAGGUAGGUAGGAAGAAGAUUCUAAGGCCAACGGGAGAAGGGUUGUUAAGGAACUCGGCAAAUUGACCCCGUAACUUCGGGAGAAGGGGUGCUCCAGAGAUGGAGGCGCAGAGAAUCGGCCCAAGCAACUGUUUACCAAAAACACAGGUUUGUGCUAAAUCGAAAGAUGACGUAUACGAGCUGACGCCUGCCCGGUGCUGGAAGGUUAAGAGGAGAUGUGCAAGCAUUGAAUCGAAGCCCCAGUGAACGGCGGCCGUAACGAUAACGGUCCUAAGGUAGCGAAAUUCCUUGUCAGGUAAGUUCUGACCCGCAUGAAAGGCGUAAUGAUUUGGGCACUGUCUCAACAGCCCGCCCGGCGAAAUUGUAGUACCGGUGAAGAUGCCGGUUACCCGCGACAAGACGGAAAGACCCCAUGGAGCUUUACUGUAGCCUAAUAUUGGGUUUCGAUGUUGCAUGCACAGGAUAGAUGGGACACAGGGAAACAAUCGCUUUGGCGGUUGCGGAGUGGCCGUUGGGAUACCAUCCUUGCGAUAUUGGAAUUCUAACCUGCGGCUCUGAAUCGAGUCGGGGGACAUUGUUAGGUGGGCAGUUUGACUGGGGCGGUCGCCUCCUAGAAAGUAACGGAGGCGUUCAAAGGUUCGCUCAGCUUGAACGGAAAUCAAGCAAAAGAGUGCAAACGCAGAAGCGAGCCUAACUGCGAGACUGACGGGUCGAGCAGUAACGAAAGUUGGAGUUAGUGAUCCGGUGGUAUGUGAGUGGAAAUGCCAUCGCUCAACGGAUAAAAGUUACCCUGGGGAUAACAGGCUGAUCUCCCCCAAGAGUCCACAUCGACGGGGAGGUUUGGCACCUCGAUGUCGGCUCAUCGCAUCCUGGGGCUGUAUUCGGUCCCAAGGGUUUGGCUGUUCGCCAAUUAAAGCGGUACGCGAGCUGGGUUCAGAACGUCGUGAGACAGUUCGGUCCCUAUCUGUCGUGGGCGCAGGAUAUUUGAUGGGAGCUGUCCCUAGUACGAGAGGACCGGGACGGACGUACCUCUGGCGCACCAGUUGUUCCGCCAGGAGCAUAGCUGGGCAACUACGUACGGAUCGGAUAAACGCUGAAAGCAUCUAAGCGUGAAGCCGACCCAAAGAUAAGAUAUCCCACUGAUUAGAUCAGGUAAGAUCCCUUGAAGACUACAAGGUUGAUAGGCACGAUGUGUAAGUGGAGUGAUCCAUUCAGCAAGAGUGUACUAAUAGAUCGAGGGCUUGACC
rnacentral:rRNA from 1 species